rnacentral:lncRNA from 1 species
GGCAUUUUCCCCGCUCCUCUGGCCGCCGAAGGAGUCCUGUGGUGCCGGGCAGGAAUGGGCUGCUUGGGGACCCAACGAGCUCCCAGAGCCUUUCCUGCUGCUUCCUCUACCCCUGUGUUUCGCUAGGCUCUCGAGAUGGACUCAGUUCCAGAUUGCCCAGCCUCACAUAUUCCUUCAUAGCAACACAAAGGGACUGAGACAAUAUAUAAGUUAACAUCUGCCAUGUAGUGGAGGUUCCAGAGAAAAAGUGAGAGAAGCUGAGUCUGCACCCUCAACAUGGAGGAAAUAAGCUCUCUUAGGACCAAGAACAGAGGACAGAGGAAGGACUCCAGCAUGAUGGGCACCAAGGGAUUUUGGUCCUUCUGAGAAAGAGGAGCAGUUCCAACAAUGUGUCUUUGCCUUCUGGCCCCAGAAUAUCAUCUGGGAAUGCGUGUUGCAUCAAGUUGCGUCUCUCCAGUUGCCUCCAAUUUGGAAUACAGAGACAGGGUCUUCCUCUUUGCCUAAGCUGGAGCGCAUUGGUGUGAUCAUCGCUCACUGCUGCCUCAAACUCCUGGGCUCAUGCGACCCUCCCACCUCAGCCUCCUGACUAGUUGGGACUACAGAAUUGGUUCCUUCCAGUGAGUUCUUGGUCUCGCUGACUUCAAGAAUGAAGCCACAGACCUGUGCGAUGAGUGUUACAGCUCUUAAAGAUGGUGUGUCCAGAGUUUGUUCCUUCAGAUGUUCAGAUGUGUCCGGAGUUUCUUCCUUCUGGUGGGUUUGUCCUCUCGCUAACUUCCAAGAAUGAAGCCGUGGACGUUCACAGUCAAGAUCUAAGCAAACACACAAAUGUGAACAACAGGGAAAGAACCCAUUGACCUACCAAGACAGGCUGCCAACAGAAUUUUGAAGGCUUGCCAAGAUGCUUUUAUGGAGGUAGAGUGAAUGAGAUUCCCUUCUAAAGGGCCUCGCACAUUCCUUGGCUUGUGAUGUCCCUUCCCCAUCAUCAAAGACAGCAACGUUGAGUUCCUGAUAUCAUACUGGCUUUUUUUGGGAAACUUCAGGCUACCAUACCUGCUUCAACUGUAGGAGAAUCUUAGUUCUGGAGAGUUGACCCUCCAGGCGAAGCAUUAGGCUUUGAUACAAUUUGUCUGGUACCGGCUGUAGAUCUGGUUUGGGCCCCAGACUAUCUUCCCUGUCCUCAAGAAUCAAAACCAACUUGGAAUGACUCCUGGCCCACUCAGCACCUUUCCGGAAGCCAGAAGAAUGAAGUGCCACACAUAUCAUCAGAGAGAAUUCCAAGGAAGAGGGAAUGGUCUAUAGUGUCUCAAGCCACAUUAAUCCUUCAAGAACAGUGUUAACUUUCUCAGGCUACUGGAACUCCACUUUUUGGAACUGUUAUAUUUACUGUUGGGGAGUGACUUUGGCACCAAGGAGAACUUGGCUCAAAUGAAUGGUUUUGGAUCACACAUCUUCAUGAUUUGGGAAUGAUAUGUGUGUUUAUUUUAUGAAAAAUGUUAGUAAUGAAGCAUUUAAAAUAUAUCAAAAGGAAAAUCUCCAAGAGUUGGUGAAUCAUGCUGUUGCCAAUAAUAGGCAUGUGACAUAACUGAACAUUUCAUCAUCUUCAGUAAAUAAUCAAGAUGAGAUGACAUGCUGGGUCUGUGAUCACCAGGGAUCCAAAUGCCUUCGAUCUUGGUGCUGGCUCACAAUCACCAAGUGGCUUCCACCUCACAGUCUGCUGUGGUUGAUUAAACUCCAGCAUCUUAUUGAUGUUCUAGCUGGCAGAAACGAAAAAGAACCCAACAAGGGCAAGGUUGAAUUACAAAGAAAGGAGAAAAUAUCCAUUGGAGGACUACUAUCAACCUCUGCCACAAUUUCUACAUUUUCUCAACGUAUGAAAUUUUAAAGUAUACUACUAAAUUUUAAAAAUUAUUCGUAUUCAUAUUUUCAAUGGUAAAACUAUCGAGCAUUCUGUUGUUUGUGCCAAUUGUUUUACCAAAAAUUUUAGAUACAAGAAGAGACAUUUAUAACACAAGGUGUUUCUAACUGGAAAGUAAGCCCUGGAAAAAUUUAGGAAACAAGAGAGAUGUGAAACGUGCUUUAUGUUAUUGUGAUUUUGAAAUCUAUUUUUUGGAAAAACUAUGCUUAUAAAUAAUUGAAACUUUAAGAGAGGUUGAAGACAGUGGAGCACAAUUAAAUUUUGUGGUUAGAAGGUUGCAUUUCUAAAAAAAAAUGUUUACUAUUGAGAGGGCAUUACAGUGCUAUGAGGGCAGGAAUUUUCGUUCAUUUUCUUCACUUAUAUUUUUUGCAACCAGAGUAGUGUGUCGAACACAGUAGGGGCUAGAUAAAUGUUGAAUUAAUGAUUGAUCAAUUGGUGGAUUAAAUUAGAGUAAAAGAUGAAGAAACAUUUCUUUUUAUUUAUUUAUUUAUUUUUAUUAUACUUUAAGUUUUAGGGUACAUGUGCGUAACAUGCAGGUUAGUUACAUAUGUAUACAUGUGCCAUGUUGGGUGAAGAAACAUUUCAACACAUGAAUUACAAGCAGAUUUUUACAAAAGAGCACACAUUUAAUACUAAAUUUGAAAAUUCACCAAACAUAGUAAUAACAUCAGUUUUUCCUUAGCUUAUUCGAUAAUACGAGAAAACUGUGUAGGGAAAGAACAACUUGAGUACAUAUAAAACCCACUGAAGAUGUCAAAAUGUAUCCAAAUUUAAAAGAGGCUCUUAAAUUUUAUCAAGCUAAGAGAAGUCUGGGACUAAGCAAGAAUUUAUUUGUAGCAAGUCACAAAAUAAAAAUAAAUUAUGUGGCCUAGACUGCAACAGUCAUAAAAUUGUGGGAAUUUUAAUGAAGUUCUUUCUGAAUUUAAAGAAAACCACAGAGGUUUCCUUAUCAUUAUGCAUGCCUUUUGCAUUUAUGAGUGAUAAUGUUUCAUGAGUAAGUAAAAAAGUUGUAAAAAUCCUAAAUACUGUAUGUCUUUAUAUGCUAUCACUCAGAAAUAUGCAAAAAGAUAAACACUUCCUCACAAUAUGUAAGCAGAACAAAGGCAUUAGAAGUAAGCUAUGCAAGUUGUAAAACAUGGGUUGACAUGUACUUAGUCUUAUUUUAUUGGUAUAAUUGAGACACAUCUGGAGAUUACUGAGUCUUGAAAUAUGCAGAUGACUGAUGAAUUAAGUGUUUGGCUGACAGAUUUCAAAUUUGAAAUUAUAAUUUCUUUAAAAUGCUUAUUUAAAAAAAGUCUUCUGUUGUGAUUAGAAUUCUUUUUCAAGGAUGGAAAUGUAAAUAUAUUAUGGAUCCUUUUCCUUGGCCUUCAACAGAG